CCAGACUCCUACGGGAGGCAGCAGUGGGGAAUAUUGCACAAUGGGCGAAAGCCUGAUGCAGCAACGCCGCGUGAAGGAAGAAGGGUUUCGGCUCGUAAACUUCUAUCAACAGGGACGAAAGAAAUGACGGUACCUGAAUAAGAAGCCCCGGCUAACUACGUGCCAGCAGCCGCGGGAAUACGUAGGGGGCAAGCGUUAUCCGGAAUUACUGGGUGUAAAGGGAGCGUGGACGGCGAUGCAAGUCAGAAGUGAAAGCCCGCGGCUCAACUGCGGGACUGCUUUUGAAACUGUAUAGCUUGAGUGCAGGAGAGGUAAGCGGAAUUCCUAGUGUAGCGGUGAAAUGCGUAGAUAUUAGGAGGAACACCGGUGGCGAAGGCGGCUUUCUGGACUGUACCUGACGCUGAGGCGCGAAAGCGUGGGUAGCGAACGGGAUUAGAUACCCCAGUA
rnacentral:rRNA from 1 species